rnacentral:rRNA from 1 species
UAGGGAAUAUUGGACAAUGGGCGAAAGCCUGAUCCAGCAACGCCGCGUGCGCGAUGACGGCCUUCGGGUUGUAAAGCGCUUUUAGGAGAGAUGAGAAAGGACAGUAUCUCCAGAAUAAGCCUCGACGAACUACGUGCCAGCAGCCGCGGUAAAACGUAGGAGGCAAGCGUUAUCCGGAUUUAUUGGGCGUAAAGCGUGUGCAGGCGGUUUGGCAAGUUGGAUGUGAAAGCUCCCGGCUUAACUGGGAGAGGUCGUUCAAAACUGCCAGACUAGAGAAUGGAAGAGGGAGGUGGAAUUCCGGGUGUAGUGGUGAAAUGCGUAGAUAUCCGGAGGAACACCAGUGGCGAGAGCGGCCUCCUAGGCCAUUUCUGACGCUAAGACACGAAAGCUAGGGUAGCAAACGG